CCCCACAGGGCUCGUGAAAGGCCACAGAAUGCCGCAAGGAGAGAAGGUUGGAGUACAUUGCGUAGAAAUCUCAUAUUGCAAGAGCAGCUACCCUGGUUGCUCCAGUGCCUGCAGUCUGCCCAGCUUAACUGCGCAGGAAGUGCAUGUGUCUAAUGCAGUGAUUGCACUUGCAUAGUAGGCUGUUAGCAUGCGGAUCUGAGGAGCCUUCUCUGCCAAUGCAGGGAGGUGUGGAUAUGAACCGGGCUUGAGAAUAUUAUUGGACAUUCCAAACGUGGAACAAGGCUGAAACGGUGCAUGCCUGUGUGUCUGGGAGAGCAGUUGAACGGUUCCCAGGAUCUCGGCUAGAAAGUGAAGUCUCCUGACUCUCCAGUGCAACAGCAGCAGAUUUACUCAAGUCUAUAUUUUGGAUGGGAGUUUACUUACGGACAACUCUGGUUACCAUGGAAGCAACAUUGGCCCAGGGGUUCUGGAAGCAUGGCGUCA